GAGGGUAUAGCUCAAAUGGCAGAGCGGCUGCUUAGCAUGCACGAGGACCUGGGUUCAAUCCCUGGUACCUCCA
rnacentral:tRNA from 1 species